GAAAUGCGAUAAGUAGUGUGAAUUGCAGAAUUCAGUGAAUCAUCGAAUCUUUGAACGCACAUUGCGCCCUAUGGUAUUCCGUAGGGCAUGCCUGUUCGAGCGUCAUUUACACCUUCAAGCUCCGCUUGGUGUUGGGUGACUGUGGCCCCUCGGGGCCACUCGCCUCAAAGUCAUUGGCGGCCGGUUUGUAGGCUUCGAGCGCAGCACAUGUGCGUCUUCGUGCCUCGCGGAUCGGCUCCCAGAAGCUAAAUCUCACAUUUUUGACCUCGAAUCAGGUAGGGAUACCCGCUGAACUUAA
rnacentral:misc_RNA from 1 species